rnacentral:lncRNA from 1 species
GGCUAUCGACAUUUGGUACAACACUAUGGAUGAAUAUGAGGUCCAAGACAGCAGUGCUAAAGACAUAUGGGUAGAUAGUGACUCUGAUAAAGAGACUGGGCCAGAAACUAAAAGUAGUGACAAGGGGGCACAAGAGUUGAAGCAAGUAAAUAAAGGUUCAAAAGAAUAGGAUAAAAAUUUAUUAGAAGAAUUAAAGAAGAAUAAGAAGACCGAUAUUUGGGAACUGCUGAUGCACAAUAUGUGAGGGACCGACUUUUUUCUAUGGGUUUCCACUGCUAGUCCGAAGUCUACUCUUUGUACUAGGUCCAUUUCAAAAUGAGCCAUUUAGUUGAGGGCCCUAAGG